rnacentral:rRNA from 1 species
UACGUAGGGGGCAAGCGUUGGUCCGGAUUCAUUGGGCGUAAAGCGCGUGUAGGCGGCCCGGUAAGUCCGCUGUGAAAGUCGGGGGCUCAACCCUCGGAUGCCGGUGGAUACUGUCGGGCUCGAGUACGGAAGAGGCGAGUGGAAUUCCUGGUGUAGCGGUGAAAUGCGCAGAUAUCAGGAGGAACACCAAUUGCGAAGGCAGCUCGCUGGGACGUUACUGACGCUGAGACGCGAAAGCGUGGGGAGCAAACAGG